rnacentral:rRNA from 1 species
GACAGAGGGUGCAAACGUUGUUCGGAAUUACUGGGCGUAAAGGGCUUGUAGGUGGCCAACUAAGUCAGACGUGAAAUCCCUCGGCUUAACCGGGGAACUGCGUCUGAUACUGGAUGGCUUGAGUUUGGGAGAGGGAUGCGGAAUUCCAGGUGUAGCGGUGAAAUGCGUAGAUAUCUGGAGGAACACCGGUGGCGAAGGCGGCAUCCUGGACCAAUACUGACACUGAAAAGCGAAAGCCAGGGGAGCAAACGGG